CUAGUUUGGCGAGUGCAUCAGCAAUGCAAUUGUUAUUACGCUCGACCCCUUGAAACUCGUAGAAUUGGAAAUACUGAAGCCGUUCCUUCAAUUCUGCCAAAUACUUGAUCAUUCUAGGGCCUCGUGCUUCGUAUUCCCUAGAGAAUUGUUUAACGACUAACUGAGAAUCACUGAAGAUGACUAUUCUCUGCACUUCAAGACUCUUCGCUAAUCGUAACCCUGCAAGUACUGC
rnacentral:lncRNA from 1 species